rnacentral:rRNA from 1 species
AUACGGAGGGUGCAAGCGUUAUUCGGAAUCACUGGGCGUAAAGGACGCGUAGGCGGGUUGGCAAGUCAGAUGUGAAAUCCUACAGCUUAACUUUAGAACUGCAUUUGAAACUGCUAACCUAGAGUAUGGGAGGGGGAGAUGGAACUAGUGGUGUAGGGGUAAAAUCCGUAGAUAUCACUAGGAAUACCGAAAGCGAAGGCGAUCUCCUGGAACAUAACUGACGCUAAGGCGUGAAAGCGUGGGGAGCAAACAGGAUUAGAUACCCUUGUAGUCC